UACGGAGGGAGCGAGCGUUGUUCGGAGUUACUGGGCGUAAAGGGCGUGUAGGCGGAUCAGUAAGUCUAUUCUGAAAGCUCCUGGCUAAACUGGGAGAGGCGAAUGGAGACUGUUGGUCUAGAGUGAGGAAGAGGAAAGUGGAAUUCCGCGUGUAGUGGUGAAAUGCGUAGAGAUGCGGAGGAACACCAGUGGCGAAGGCAGCCCCCUGGGUCAAGAUUGACGCUCAUGCACGAAAGCGUGGGGAGCAAACAGG
rnacentral:rRNA from 1 species